rnacentral:rRNA from 1 species
UACGGAAGGGAGCUAGCGUUGUUCGGAAUUACUGGGCGUAAAGCGCGCGUAGGCGGCUUUGUAAGUUAGAGGUGAAAGCCCGGAGCUCAACUCCGGAACUGCCUUUAAAACUGCAUCGCUUGAAUCCAGGAGAGGUGAGUGGAAUUCCGGAGUGUAGAGGUGAAAUUCGUAGAUAUUCGGAAGAACACCAGUGGCGAAGGCGG